GGUAAAGUGCCUGAUUAAAGGGUUAUUUUGAUAGAAUAAAUUAAGUAAUUUUACAUUACCUUUACCU
rnacentral:tRNA from 1 species